UACGAAGGGGGCUAGCGUUGUUCGGAAUUACUGGGCGUAAAGGGCGCGCAGGCGGCUCUUCAAGUCAGAUGUGAAAGCCCCGGGCUCAACCCUGGGAACUGCAUUUGAGACUGGAGAGCUCGAGUUCGGGAGAGGAUGGUGGAAUUCCCAGUGUAGAGGUGAAAUUCGUAGAUAUUGGGAAGAACACCGGUGGCGAAGGCGGCCAUCUGGACCGAUACUGACGCUGAGG
rnacentral:rRNA from 1 species